rnacentral:rRNA from 1 species
GUGUGUUAGUGGAAGCGUCUGGAAAGUCGCACGGUACAGGGUGAUAGUCCCGUACACAAAAACACACUGGCUGUGAACUCGAUGAGUAGGGCGGGACACGUGACAUCCUGUCUGAAUAUGGGGGGACCAUCCUCCAAGGCUAAAUACUCCUGACUGACCGAUAGUGAACCAGUACCGUGAGGGAAAGGCGAAAAGAACCCCGGCGAGGGGAGUGAAAUAGAACCUGAAACCGUGUACGUACAAGCAGUGGGAGCACCUUCGUGGUGUGACUGCGUACCUUUUGUAUAAUGGGUCAGCGACUUAUAUUUUGUAGCAAGGUUAACCGAAUAGGGGAGCCGUAGGGAAACCGAGUCUUAACUGGGCGUCUAGUUGCAAGGUAUAGACCCGAAACCCGGUGAUCUAGCCAUGGGCAGGUUGAAGGUUGGGUAACACUAACUGGAGGACCGAACCGACUAAUGUUGAAAAAUUAGCGGAUGACUUGUGGCUGGGGGUGAAAGGCCAAUCAAACCGGGAGAUAGCUGGUUCUCCCCGAAAGCUAUUUAGGUAGCGCCUCGUGAACUCAUCUUCGGGGGUAGAGCACUGUUUCGGCUAGGGGUCCAUCCCGGAUUACCAAACCGAUGCAAACUCCGAAUACCGAAGAAUGUUAUCACGGGAGACACACGGCGGGUGCUAACGUCCGUCGUGAAGAGGGAAACAACCCAGACCGCCAGCUAAGGUCCCAAAGUCAUGGUUAAGUGGGAAACGAUGUGGGAAGGCAUAGACAGCCAGGAUGUUGGCUUAGAAGCAGCCAUCAUUUAAAGAAAGCGUAAUAGCUCACUGGUCGAGUCGGCCUGCGCGGAAGAUGUAACGGGGCUAAACCAUGCACCGAAGCUGCGGCAGCGACGCUUAGGCGUUGUUGGGUAGGGGAGCGUUCUGUAAGCCGUUGAAGGUGGCCUGUGAGGGCUGCUGGAGGUAUCAGAAGUGCGAAUGCUGACAUAAGUAACGAUAAUGCGGGUGAAAAACCCGCACGCCGGAAGACCAAGGGUUCCUGUCCAACGUUAAUCGGGGCAGGGUGAGUCGACCCCUAAGGCGAGGCUGAAAAGCGUAGUCGAUGGGAAACAGGUUAAUAUUCCUGUACUGGGUGUGACUGCGAAGGGGGGACGGAGAAGGCUAGGCUAGCCGGGCGACGGUUGUCCCGGUUUAAGCAUGUAGGCGGAGCGACUUGGUAAAUCCGGUUGCUUAUCAACGCUGAGGUGUGAUGACGAGCCACUACGGUGGUGAAGUAGUUGAUGCCAAGCUUCCAGGAAAAGCCUCUAAGCAUCAGGUGACAUUCAAUCGUACCCCAAACCGACACAGGUGGUCAGGUAGAGAAUACUCAGGCGCUUGAGAGAACUCGGGUGAAGGAACUAGGCAAAAUGGUGCCGUAACUUCGGGAGAAGGCACGCUGGCAUUAGGUAAAGAGACUUGCUCUCGGCGCCGAAGCCAGUCGCAGAUACCAGCUGGCUGCAACUGUUUAAUAAAAACACAGCACUGUGCAAACACGAAAGUGGACGUAUACGGUGUGACGCCUGCCCGGUGCUGGAAGGUUAAUUGAUGGGGUCAGCCGCAAGGCGAAGCUCUUGAUCGAAGCCCCAGUAAACGGCGGCCGUAACUAUAACGGUCCUAAGGUAGCGAAAUUCCUUGUCGGGUAAGUUCCGACCUGCACGAAUGGCGUAAUGAUGGCCAGGCUGUCUCCACCCGAGACUCAGUGAAAUUGAACUCGCUGUGAAGAUGCAGUGUACCCGCGGCAAGACGGAAAGACCCCGUGAACCUUUACUAUAGCUUGACACUGAAUAUUGAGCCUUGAUGUGUAGGAUAGGUGGGAGGCAUCGAAGCGUGGACGCCAGUCUGCGUGGAGCCAACCUUGAAAUACCACCCUUUAAUGUUUGAUGUUCUAACUCGGCCCCAUAAUCUGGGGUGAGGACAGUGUCUGGUGGGUAGUUUGACUGGGGCGGUCUCCUCCCAAAGAGUAACGGAGGAGCACGAAGGUUAGCUAAUCACGGUCGGACAUCGUGAGGUUAGUGCAAAGGCAUAAGCUAGCUUGACUGCGAGAGUGACGGCUCGAGCAGGUACGAAAGUAGGUCUUAGUGAUCCGGUGGUUCUGAAUGGAAGGGCCAUCGCUCAACGGAUAAAAGGUACUCCGGGGAUAACAGGCUGAUACCGCCCAAGAGUUCAUAUCGACGGCGGUGUUUGGCACCUCGAUGUCGGCUCAUCACAUCCUGGGGCUGAAGUAGGUCCCAAGGGUAUGGCUGUUCGCCAUUUAAAGUGGUACGCGAGCUGGGUUUAGAACGUCGUGAGACAGUUCGGUCCCUAUCUGCCGUGGGCGUUGGAAGAUUGAGAGGGGCUGCUCCUAGUACGAGAGGACCGGAGUGGACGCAUCACUGGUGUUCGGGUUGUCAUGCCAAUGGCAUUGCCCGGUAGCUAAAUGCGGAAAAGAUAAGCGCUGAAAGCAUCUAAGCGCGAAACUUGCCUCGAGAUGAGUCUUCCCUGGGGCUUUAAGCCCCCUGAAGGAACGUUAAAGACUAUGACGUUGAUAGGCUGGGUGUGUAAGUGCAGCGAUGCAUUGAGCUAACCAGUACUAAUGAUCCGUGAGGCUUAACCUU